UUCUAUUGGCUUUGUGCUCCUUUACUCUAGUUUCUACUACUCCCAUGACAUCCACUUUAUUAACAGCAAGGAAAUUCUUUAAUUCCUUCUGUUUAUGGGGCUGGUUGAGGCCCCUAAUAUUCCAUGUGGCUAUAAUCAUGGAAAAGGGGGGUACCCCUGUAAGAGGGUCCUGGAUCAAUCUGCUGGACACCACUAUUUCCCACAGUCAUAGUUGCCUUCCCCUUAUCACAGUUGUUAGCUAUUUGGUCAGUAUUACCAAUAGUGACAGUCACCUCUUGAUUCAUACAUUCAUUCAGUACAUUUUGCUUGGAUUUGGCUAGGCUCUCAUCUGUUUUACUAGAUUCCUGCAUUGGCUGAUUGUCCACCACUUUAUCUGCAACUGUACCCUUAUGGAUUUCCUGCACCUCUGUUAUAGCUUGCUUGAUCUGCCAUUCUGUUUACCUAUCUGCUUGCUCUUCCCUUUCUGCUUGGGUAUUUUAUCCUGAUGCUCCCUUUCCUUAUGGUCAUUGUUAUAAGUAGAAUACCAGCAUUCAAUAUAGUCAUGCCCAAGCUUCAAACAAUGGUUGCAAAAGGAAGGUUUCCAGUCAUACUCAACUGUCUGAAUUUUUAACCAUAAGGAGUUUCAAUUUCCAGUUGGUCAGGCAGAGGAUAAGCAGCAUCCACCUCAACUAAAACUC
rnacentral:lncRNA from 1 species